UUGUCAAGGGUCUGUCUGAGGAUAC
rnacentral:piRNA from 1 species